AUGUACAUUCUUACAAUGUUAAUACCCCAGAUCCCAUUAGAACUAUGUAGUUAAGUGCAAUUGGGCUAGAUUAGUAUUGGGAUGGGUGACCUCGUGGGAAGUCUUAGUGUUUUUACAUG
rnacentral:rRNA from 1 species